rnacentral:lncRNA from 1 species
GGGGGUUUGCAGAGGUCAUGCGCAAUAAAUGCUGGGGCAGUGGCAGGAUAUGGCCCUCGGCCGGACUUUGGAGGGGUUCGGCCGUAGUAGGUGGUCGACAAGGACAGACCUUUGGGGUCGGAAAUUCUCUAGGUCGGACGUUUCGAGGUCGGACGUUCUGAGGUCGGAAAUUCAGAGGUCGGACGCCGACCUCAGUCGUCCAAGCUCGGUGGCUAUGCGGCCUUUUGGAGGUGGGGUUACUAUAUUGCUGGGGG